rnacentral:rRNA from 1 species
CCUGGCGGCACUAGCGCGGUGGUCCCACCUGACCCCAUGCCGAACUCAGAAGUGAAACGCCGUAGCGCCGAUGGUAGUGUGGGGUCGUCCCCAUGCGAGAGUAGGGAACUGCCAGGC